rnacentral:tRNA from 1 species
GGAGAAUUAGCUCAGUCGGGAGAGCGUGCUCUUCACAGGGGUGAGGUCAUGGGUUCGAGUCCCAUAUUCUCCACCA